rnacentral:rRNA from 1 species
UGGGGGAUAUUGCACAAUGGGCGAAAGCCUGAUGCAGCGACGCCGCGUGGGGGAUGAAGGCCUUCGGGUUGUAAACUUCUUUUGCUCUGAACAAGGCGCACCAUGGGGUGUGUUGAGUGUAGGGGUUGAUUAGCGCCGGCUAACUACGUGCCAGCAGCCGCGGUAAUACGUAGGGCGCGAGCGUUGUCCGGAAUUAUUGGGCGUAAAGGGCUUGUAGGUGGCUGGUUGCGUCUGUCGUGAAAGCUCAUGGCUUAACUGUGGGUUUGCGGUGGGUACUGUCUUGCUUGAGUGCAGUAGGGGAGGCUGGAAUUCCUGGUGUAGCGGUGGAAUGCGCAGAUAUCAGGAGGAAUACCGGUGGCGAAGACGGGUCUCUGGGCUGUUACUGACACUGAGGAGCGAAAGCAUGGGGAGCGAACAGG